rnacentral:rRNA from 1 species
UACGAAGGGGGCAAGCGUUGUUCGGAAUUACUGGGCGUAAAGGGCGCGUAGGCGGCUUAUCAAGUCAGGCGUGAAAUUCCCGGGCUCAACCUGGGGGCUGCGCUUGAUACUGAUGAGCUUGAAUGCGGGAGAGGAUAGUGGAAUUCCCAGUGUAGAGGUGAAAUUCGUAGAUAUUGGGAAGAACACCGGUGGCGAAGGCGGCUAUCUGGCCCGUAAUUGACGCUCAUGUGCGAAAGCGUGGGGAGCAAACAGG